CUGACUUUUGCACACGGCCGGAGAGGGAAAUCCGAGCACAUGUUCCAAACAGAUUAAGCAACUGUGCAUGAGGCCUCUUUGUAUGUGGUGGGCUCUUGGCGGCAAGCAAGGCAGGAGAUGUGCAGAGCCAAUUUUAACCUCCUCUGAACACGGGACGCUCCGGUGUUUGUUUGCUGAAAUUGGCGAGGCAAGGAGGGCCGAGACGUACCCCUGAUCUGCAUUGAACAGCUCCAUCGGCUGGGCGUACAGUACAGUACAGGCACUACAGCCUCGAUCCUGGGUUUGGUCACACUGUUCUGCAACGUCCAAACAUAUGUAGCAGGGCCAGCCCAGCCAACAGAGUGCCUCCUACUAUGCACUCACAUGGCCAUGCAAUAAAAAUCACUGAUCAGUGAACAGAGAAUGGAGCUCUGUUCUGUUCUCGUCAGGAAUCAGGGCCGCCCUCCCAAGUGCGAAAUCGCCCGAUGUGCACGCUGCGCCCACGGUCAGCCGCCGGAGCAGCAGCAAGACAACCCCAGCUCGUUCGACUGCCACGCAAGAAAACACCUCAGUCGUUGAGGGCCUCACGGGCUUUCCCGGUGGCUCUCUCAGACGGCCGCAGGCAGCAGGGAAGCCCAAAAGCGAACCGGCGGCGGCCACAGCCUGUGACUCUCACUGCCUCAUUGGUCUACACUCAAAUGAUAAGGGUGUCAUCCACAGGUUAGAUAUAUUUCAUGCCUUAACUUGCAGAUAGCUCUAAUAUCACAUUCGCAUUUUAACUUUGAUGAAAAUAUUUGAAACCCAGCUGGGAUCUGGUUAAGGUAUAUGGGCAACGGUACGAAGCAAUAUUCAGAUCGCGUAAUUCUCAAGCUCACUUGACUCAAAAGAGUCGUAGGACUAGGACAUAUAAACUCUUAUCUUUGCAUAGUUUCCAUCAUGGUCCCGCGAAUGAAACAAGAAUCAGAAAACCACAAUACGAUUUCAAAGAGCUAGAUGAGUU